GUAGGGAAUAUUGGGCAAUGGUCGGAAGACUGACCCAGCCAUGCCGCGUGCAGGAAGACGGCCCUCUGGGUUGUAAACUGCUUUUAUCUGGGAAGAAAAAGGCCAUGCGUGGCAAAUUGCCGGUACCAGAUGAAUAAGCACCGGCUAACUCCGUGUCAGCAGCCGCGGUAAUACGGAGGGUGCAAGCGUUGUCCGGAUUUAUUGGGUUUAAAGGGUGCGUAGGCGGCUGAUUAAGUCAGCGGUGAAAGACUCCGGCUUAACCGGAGCAGUGCCGUUGAUACUGGUUAGCUUGAGUGUUGGAGGGGUACAUGGAAUUGAUGGUGUAGCGGUGAAAUGCAUAGAUACCAUCAGGAACACCGAUAGCGAAGGCAUUGUACUGGCCAACAACUGACGCUGAUGCACGAAAGUGUGGGGAUCGAACAGGAUUAGAAACCCGGGUAGUCC
rnacentral:rRNA from 1 species